rnacentral:rRNA from 1 species
UCCUACGGGAGGCAGCAGUGGGGAAUAUUGCACAAUGGGCGCAAGCCUGAUGCAGCCAUGCCGCGUGUAUGAAGAAGGCCUUCGGGUUGUAAAGUACUUUCAGCAGUGAGGAAGGAGGUAUCGUUAAUAGCGGUAUCUUUUGACGUUAGCUGCAGAAGAAGCACCGGCUAACUCCGUGCCAGCAGCCGCGGUAAUACGGAGGGUGCGAGCGUUAAUCGGAAUUACUGGGCGUAAAGCGCAUGCAGGUGGUUUGUUAAGUCAGAUGUGAAAGCCCGGGGCUCAACCUCGGAAUUGCAUUUGAAACUGGCAGGCUAGAGUACUGUAGAGGGGGGUAGAAUUUCAGGUGUAGCGGUGAAAUGCGUAGAGAUCUGAAGGAAUACCGGUGGCGAAGGCGGCCCCCUGGACAGAUACUGACACUCAGAUGCGAAAGCGUGGGGAGCAAACAGGAUUAGAUACCCUGGUAGUCCACGCCGUAAACGAUGUCUACUUGGAGGUUGUGGCCUUGAGCCGUGGCUUUCGGAGCUAACGCGUUAAGUAGACCGCCUGGGGAGUACGGUCGCAAGAUUAAAACUCAAAUGAAUUGACGGGGGCCCGCACAAGCGGUGGAGCAUGUGGUUUAAUUCGAUGCAACGCGAAGAACCUUACCUACUCU